AAACCAUAUCAGUAACCAUAUGAUAUUUAAAAUCUUGAGAUCAAUUGUGUCGAGUAAAACAAAUUAAAUCAUGCCAGAUAAAAAUUAUGAAUUUUUCCAUAAAAGCAUCAUCUUCAGGAAGGACCUCAGGAGGGUGUUCUGCCAUCAUCACGUUAUGAAAAGCAUUUGAAAGAAAUGCUGACUGUUGUUGUUGACAAGGAGGAGGGGAUCCUUCCUGAGGAUGGUAUAACUUCGCGGGAGCCCUCCCAGAAAGACUCCUGUGUUAUCUCCAAUAACAGUACUACCAUUCAGGAUGGCAGAGGAACCUAGAGAAGAGGAGAUGAGAAAUACACCUUCACCAGGAUACUCUAGUUUUACUAGCUCAGCAAAUAAUAAAAUCCUUCACCAGCC
rnacentral:lncRNA from 1 species